rnacentral:rRNA from 1 species
CGAAUUGACUGGCUCGAUUGACGCUGGCGGCAGGCCUAACACAUGCAAGUCGAGCGGCAGCGGGAAAGUAGCUUGCUACUUUUGCCGGCGAGCGGCGGACGGGUGAGUAAUGCCUGGGGAUCUGCCCAGUCGAGGGGGAUAACUACUGGAAACGGUAGCUAAUACCGCAUACGCCCUACGGGGGAAAGCAGGGGACCUUCGGGCCUUGCGCGAUUGGAUGAACCCAGGUGGGAUUAGCUAGUUGGUGAGGUAACGGCUCACCAAGGCGACGAUCCCUAGCUGGUCUGAGAGGAUGAUCAGCCACACUGGAACUGAGACACGGUCCAGACUCCUACGGGAGGCAGCAGUGGGGAAUAUUGCACAAUGGGGGAAACCCUGAUGCAGCCAUGCCGCGUGUGUGAAGAAGGCCUUCGGGUUGUAAAGCACUUUCAGCGAGGAGGAAAGGUCAGUAGCUAAUAUCUGCUGGCUGUGACGUUACUCGCAGAAGAAGCACCGGCUAACUCCGUGCCAGCCGCCGCGGUAAUACGUCGUGACUGGAAA